AGAAGACCCCAUGGAGCUUUAAACCUAGCCACACCCAGAAUCUUUAUACCUAACUAUUAUCUGAACCCUGUAAGCUAGGCUUUAGGUUGGGGUGACCGCGGAGUAAAACAAAACCUCCGCAAUGAACGAAACUACCGUCUUAUCUAAGAAUAAUCCCUCUAAGAAUUAGCACUCUAACAUAAAUGAUCCAAUUAUUGAUCAACGGACCAAGUUACCCUGGGGAUAACAGCGCAAUCCACUUCAAGAGCUCCUAUCGACAGGUGGGUUUACGACCUCGAUGUUGGAUCAGGGUAUCCCAGUGGUGUAGCAGCUACUAAUGGCUCGUUUGUUCAACGAUUAA
rnacentral:rRNA from 1 species